rnacentral:rRNA from 1 species
ACUCCUACGGGAGGCAGCAGUGGGGAAUAUUGCACAAUGGGCGAAAGCCUGAUGCAGCAACGCCGCGUGAGUGAAGAAGGUCUUCGGAUUGUAAAGCUCUGUCUUUUGGGACGAAAAAUGACGGUACCAAAGGAGGAAGCCACGGCUAACUACGUGCCAGCAGCCGCGGUAAU